AAUUAGGAAUCUUGCGCAAUGGGCGAAAGCCUGACGCAGCGACGUCGCGUGAACGAUGAAGUCUUUCGGGAUGUAAAGUUCUUUUCUGAGGGAAGAAGGAUGUGACGGUACCUCAGGAAUAAGCCCCGGCUAACUACGUGCCAGCAGCCGCGGUAAUACGUAGGGGGCGAGCGUUGUCCGAAUUCACUGGGCGUAAAGCGCGCGUAGGCGGGUUAUUAAGUUAGGGGUGAAAUCCCGAGGCUCAACCUCGGAACUGCCUUUAAAACUGUUAGCCUGGAGGUAUGGAGAGGGAAGUGGAAUUCCUGGUGUAGCGGUGAUAUGCGUAGAUAUCAGGAGGAACACCCGUGGCGAAGGCGGCUUCCUGGCCAUAUCCUGACGCUGAGGUGCGAAAGCUAGGGUAGCGAACGGGAUUAGAUACCCCGGUAGUCCUAGCCGUAAACGAUGGAUACUAUGUGUUAUAGGUAUCGACCCCUGUAGUGCCGGAGCUAA
rnacentral:rRNA from 1 species